rnacentral:piRNA from 1 species
UGGAACUCUUUAUAAGCUUGAAGUUGGC